CCCCCCCCAAACCCCAGCCAUGAUCAACGCCCGUCACUUUCCCCUCCUCUCGUUCGCACUCCUCCUCCUCUCUCUCCGCCUCUCCCUCGCCACGUCACCACCACAACAAGACCCAGAAACCCCAGUCGCCCGGUUCCAAAAAUACCUGAGAUUCAACACCGCCCAUCCAAACCCAAACUACACAGCUCCAGUCUCUUUUCUAACCUCCUUAGCCACUUCUCUAGGUCUCAAAACCCAGACUCUCGAAUUCAUACCCAACAAACCAACUCUUCUCAUAACCUGGCAAGGCUCAAACCCAUCUCUCCAUUCACUCCUCUUCAACUCCCACCUCGACUCUGUCCCAGCUGAACCUUCUAAAUGGACCCAUCCUCCUUUCUCAGCCACGCUAACCCCAGAAGGAAAAAUCUUUGCACGCGGAGCUCAAGACGACAAGUGCAUAGCAAUUCAGUACUUAGAAGCAAUCCGCAACUUAAAAGCAAGAAACUUUGUCCCUACAAGGACACUACACAUUUCUUUUGUUCCUGAUGAGGAGAUUGGUGGGAUUGACGGGUCUGAUAAGUUUGUCAAGUCUAAAGAGUUUAAAGAUUUGGAUGUUGGGUUUGUUUUGGAUGAAGGGCAGGCUUCAGUUAACGAUGAAUUUAGAGUUUUUUAUGCUGAUAGGUCGCCUUGGAAUUUGAUUAUUAAGGCUAAAGGAGUGCCUGGGCAUGGGUCGAGAAUGUAUGAUAACGGAGCUAUGGAGAAUUUGAUGGAUAGUAUCGAGGUUAUCAACAGGUUUAGAGAUAGUCAGUUUGAUAUUGUUAAGGCUGGAAAAGCUUCGAACUCGGAAGUUAUCUCAGUUAAUCCUGUUUUCUUGAAAGCUGGGAUUCCUUCCCCAACUGUGAGUGUUUGUUCCUUUGUUUGUACUGUUUGGACUCUAAGCGUGUUUCUUUAUUGAUGAUAAAGAGGUGCUUGUGUAGGGUUUUGUGAUGAAUAUGCAACCUUCGGAGGCAGAAGCAGGGUUUGAUCUUAGAUUGCCUCCUACAGCGGACCCAGAUCUUGUGAAGAAAAGAAUUGCUGAAGAGUGGGCGCCAGCUGUACGAAACAUGACAUACGAGGUAACAUCAUGAUGGGUAUUUAUCUUCAAUCAUAGAACUUUUAGAUGGCAUUUUGAAUUCAUUCAUGGGAAUGUGCGGUUGCUUGUUUCCCUUUUUUAUCAACUUGAUGGAGGCCCUUUUUGUUAUUUGAAUUGGUGGUUAACACGAUGCAUUGAUGCUCACUAAUUGAAGUAAUCUCAAGUGGUCCUUGCUUAUCUCGUGAAAUGGUAGGAAAUCUGGGAAUGUUUCAGAGAGUUUGGUUGGUUUGAAACGCUGCCCCGAUUAUUUGAGAUUUGAAGUUUACCAGUCAAAAGCAUUCCUUAUUAGAGCAUUAUUUGACAGGAUUCAUAUUUUCUUUUUCAUAAACAUUGCCCUAAAAGCUGAAUUUUGGACCCCAAAGAGCAAUUUAGGGCCUAAAGUUGCCUAAGAAUGUCAUCUCGUGACUAUUCUGACCACCAUAAGCUUUAUUUUUUAUUGCUUUAACAUGUUGCCAAAGUUUGGUCAUGGUCGUGGGUGAUAACAAUAGUAAUGCUUUGUCACUGCAAACUGGAUUAAACAUGAUUUUCUAACUUGUCAUGCUGGAUACCGGCACUUAAAUGGAAUGCACAAUCUUCUGGUCCCCAUGUGCUGCACGCACAAGGUUUUUCUUCAGAAAAUUUCUUCAUAGUUGCUUAGAUGACUAGUCCUCCCGCAAUAUAUGCUUCUCAAUGCUUUAGUAUCAAGAACAAGUUUGAUAUACCUAUUUUUUAAUGGAUUUUUCAAAAUUUAAAUCGUGCAUUGCAAAAGCUGUAUAAGCGUUAACGGUAUUUUCAAUGGUAUCCAUGUACUUUGUGCCCACUGCAAUCGAUGCAUCAACUUUUACAAUUGAAGAUCGAGAGUAUCUUUAAACAUGGAAAUGUCUCUUCUUAAAACAAAGAACACUCGAUCCCAGAUAAGACCUAGGAUUGAUAAGGUUUAUUUUUUAAUGGAAUAAUCUUGGUUCCCCUUUGUGAAAUCAAUAUUGAUUUUUAACUGCUAUGAAUUCUUUUAUUUGCUCCUCCAUCAAAAGGUUUGGUAUGGGAUGGUCCACUGACCAGCUAAACUAUGUCAUCUAGACGUACGAAGGGAAUGGAACCAUCCAUAUCAGUGGUCUGUUAUGUUAUCCUUUUAUUAAAUCAGCAAUAGAUAUUCUUGGUUACUGUCCCUUUGACAUUCAAACAUCAACUGCUGGAGAAAUUUGUCUCGAAUUUGUGAAGGAAUGGUACUUGAAUUCAAUGUGAUGAUCUGGAUUACCUUGUUCGCUUCUCUUUUUCUUCAUUUUAAUUGAUAAUGUCUUGUGGUUUGUGGGUCACUUGAGAAUAUUUAUUGAGAAGUCUCACUUGUAGUUAAAAGCCACAUAAUUACAGGGUUUGAUAAUUUAUGCUAACAACCAUUCCAAUGGAAGUGGGAAGUUUAAAAUUUAUGAUUUAUUGCUCUUGGCGGCGGUGUUGCUUUUGGCUCUCAAUAAGUAAAGGUUGCAUUAGAGAAAUUUGUCUGAUUGCUUGUUUAUAUGAUAGAUAAUUGAGAAAGGACCCUUGAGAGAUUAUAUGGGACGCCCAUUAAUGACAGCAACAGAUGAUUCGAACCCAUGGUGGUCUGUUUUCAAGCAAGCCAUUGCAGCAGCUGGAGGAAAACUUGCAAAGCCUGAAAUAUUGUCUUCAACUACUGAUGCACGGUUCAUGAGACAGUUGGGGAUUCCCGCUUUUGGAUUCUCUCCAAUGACAAAUACCCCUAUUUUAUUGCAUGACCAUAACGAGGUUUGACAAGUUUGCAAAUAAAUUAUUCUCUUUUGCAGUUUCAUAUUCAUGCUUGGUACUUACAUCUGUAAGCGUGUAUUGCAGUUCUUGAAAGAUACCAUAUUCUUGAAAGGAAUUGAGGUUUAUGAACAUAUAAUUCACGCGUUGAGUUCGUUUGAGGAAGCUAAUUCAAUAUAGAUGUUCUCAGUUUGGACAUGAUUGGAGGACCGAUGUAUGGCAUGCUGGUUUUGAUGCGGCGGGGUUGUUUCGGCUGGUAAGAUAUGCCAAGAUGCUUGCAUCAUUUGGCUAUUUGUAGUUUAAUCUUUCUUUGGUGAUUACACUUGACUGAUAUAAUGAUCAUCAUUCACAUUGUUAAUAAGAGCGCUGAUCAAUAAGAAGAGCAACAUAGUUCGUUGUAUACGGACCUAUUAAAACCCUUUUGUACAGACUCCAUUAGUUGAUAGUUGACUUACUAUUCCAUCCUUUAAACCCGUAUUUGCUCUGAAGUUGAGGUGUGAGAAGGUACUUGUGUGAUAACUCUGAUUGCCUUAUUCAAGUAUUAAGGCAAGGGAAAAUCAGACCAGUCAGACAAGAAAAUACAUGCAUCUGCUAACUGGCAUUCAAUACUGCACAUCAAAGAAGUUUCAUCGAUGAUAUAUAUGAAGGUCUUUUCUUUUAUGCAUCAUGGUAGCUCUUUCUUCUUCUUCUUCUUCUUUUUUUUUUUUUAUUCUUAAAAUUUUGAAGUUUUGGAUACCCUUAAUGUUUGCUAAUGUUUCCGUGUAAGAAAACAGCUGAAUCCUUCAUAAUAUUUCCGUGUAACGUAUGCCCUGUUUUCAUCUCAUCCAUUUGCUAACGUAAUUGGAUUACCUAGAUAAAGCGGAGGAUUACCUAAAUAAAGCGGAGUCAUAGCGAGGGGAAUAUGUGUGCAGAUCUUAUUGAUAACAAGGAUGCUUAAUGCAGUUUGGCACUCAAGGCUUGGACGCUCCUCCUCCUGCCAUUUCCCAUAUUUUGUAUGUGUCAAGAGAUAAAGGUGGGCCGGUGGCGAUGCCUUGUUAGUAUCUGGGGUCGGGCCUUGCCCAUUGCAAAAAAAAAAAAAACAGAGAGAGAGGAAUAGUGGAGGUCACUUUAUAAAUUUAGCAGGAGGUCACUUUGUUUUCCAACCUGAACUUUUCCCACUUUGAUAACUCGUGGAAAAAAGAGAAAUCAGUUACUACAUUUUAGCCGGAGAUAACGUAGGAGGAGAACCAUAGCAUGUUGAUUGUUCAAAUAGCAAACCUACUGAUAAAUUGACCAUAAGGGAACUGUUAUCUCUUUUGUCGCUACUUGUUGCUUGGUACUGUGUUUUCAACUGUGUUUGGUGUGUAUUUUAUUUCAAAAGUGUAUUUGUUUUUAAAUAAAUAUUAAAUUGAUAUUUUUUUAGUAUUUUUAUGAUUUUAAUAUGUUAAUAUAAAAAAAAUAUUUUAAUAUAUUUUCAAAUAAAAAAAAUACAUUAAAAAAAAUAACAAACGCUAACCUACACUGUAAUGUCGUAUCACCUCUUUCCUAUCUCGUGGGAUAUCGUUAAAGUACGAAGGCAAGCGGCAGACUAUAUCAGGCAAAUUCUGAAUAAUGAGAUUUCUAGAUCCAUAAAUCAUGAGCAGUGGGCUGGAUAAGUGGCCCAACACCUGGAAUUGUUUGCAAUCUAGUCACGGGAAUGGAGUCGAGUCCGAGACCUUCCUCUAAAACUCUAUAAAAUAUAAAUUACACCACGCAGCUAGCUGGAUACUGUCAUUAGGUUAACUUUUGUUUCUUCUAUUUUUUUAUAAAAAAAAUAUAUCUUAAAAUAAAAUCAUCUUUAAAUAAAUAAUUAAAAUUAUAAUUUAAAAAAAAUUCAAUAAUACCAUAUUUUAAAAAAAUAAGAUUAUCACUUUUAUGGUUAUAUCUACAAUUUUUUUAUAAUUACACAAGAAAAUAAUAUGCACGAUAUUUUAAAAAAUGCUCGUUGAGAAUAAUAUAUAUAUAUUAUCAUCAAUUUUUUAUAUUAGUUUAUUUAUUUAUUUUUAUUUAUUUUUCUAUACAAUCUUGUAAAAUAAUCAAAAUAUUAUUUUUUAUUUAUUUGGUGAAAAUCGGUUCAAGAUCAUGAUAAGUUCUUAUAUGAGAAAAAUAGUUUUAAUAAGACAUUUUUCAUCAAAAAAGAAAAGGAAUAGUAAAUAGAGAGUUCUGGAUAAAGAAAAUAUUUUUUCUCUAAAAAUUUAAAUAAUUUGAAUUGUUUUAAGUUUUUAUUCAAAAAAAUCAGCUUGUUGAUAAAAAUGUCAUGGAUUUUUUUUUAAAAAAAUGUAUAAAUAAAAAGAUAGAAUUUUGACAAUUUUUUUUAAUAAUUUCAAUCAUUAAAAAAAUUGAAUAUUUCCUUGAUGUGAAAAGAUAGAAUUUUGACAAUUUUUUUUUAAUAAUUUCAAUCAUUAAAAAAAUUGAAUAUUUCCUUGAUGUGAUGCACAUGGUUGGUCAACUAGCUGGUUUGAACCACAACCUCUAAAGUGGUAUAAAAAGGUCAACUGAAUUUAGCCAUUGCCCAUAAUAUUAAAGAAAUUAAGUUUGAUAUACCUUAACUUUUCAGGUUAUAAAUUUAUUUUCUAAAGGUUAUUAGUUCGAAUCUCAUAAACUUUAAAAUCAUUGAAAAUUUAUAUAAUUAUCAAUUUCAAAACUCGUGAAAUUAAUCAAAAUACAAACUGAUUGAAAUAUCCACUUAAAAAAAAAAAAAAAGAAAUUUCCUCCCGAACUACCUUCGAACAAACAAGUUCUUGUCAGAUUCCUUGAUUACUUACAAAUGGAAAAUAAACAAAAGAGGCAGUGUGUGGCCGAAGCAUUUUGCGUGUCAUGUUAAAUAUUAAAAAGCAUUUUAAAAUAUGAUAGUUUGAGUUUAUUUUAUAAUCUUGUAUUUUAAAUUUCAUUUAUUGAUGAGUGUUGAAUAUAUUAUUAAGAGAAUGGAGGUUAAGAAAUAUUUUAUGAAAUUUUAGAAAAAAAAAUACAUUAAAAAAAACAGGAUAUUUUAGUCAUUAAAAAAUCGUAGGAGUGAUAUUUGAAAGAUAAGACUAAAGUUGAUCCCUCCUCUACAUAAGUUCUUUAUUAUAUAUUUAUUUAUUGAAUUUAAUAUAAUAUACACAAACCUUAAUCUUAAUAUUAUGUACACACACAUAAUAUUUACAAUUUUAUUAUUAUUAUAUAUAUAUAUAUUAUUUUAAAUUAAAUAGUAAAUAAUAUUUAGGUAAAAAACGAUCAAAAUACAAAAAAAAAUUAUUAUUUGAUGAAUAGUAGAUGGUAUAUCAGUAAAAAAUUAGAAAUCCUAUCCGUAGAUUACAAUUAACAUCCUAUUGAAGAAGCUAAAGCUGCUGAACAAGAGAUACACAGCCGAAGACAAGUCCCUCUCCCACUCCAACACCCCAGCCAUGGUCAACGCCCUCACGCUCGCACUCCUCCUCACGCUCGCACUCCUCCUCCUCCCCUCUUCCCGCCUCUCCCUCGCCACAUCACCACCACAACAAGACCCAGAAACCCCUAUCACCCGGUACCAGCAAUACCUGAGAUUCAACACCGCCCAUCCAAACCCAAACUACACAGCUCCAGUCUCUUUUCUAACCUCCUUAGCCCAAUCCCUCGGUCUCAAAACCCAGACUCUCGAAUUCAUAUCCAACAAACCAACUCUUCUCAUAACCUGGCAAGGCUCAAACCCAUCUCUCCCUUCACUCCUCUUCAACUCCCACCUCGACUCUGUCCCAGCUGAACCUUCUAAAUGGACCCAUCCUCCUUUCUCAGCCACACUAACCCCAGAAGGAAACAUAUUUGCACGCGGAGCUCAAGACGACAAGUGCAUAGCAAUUCAGUACUUAGAAGCAAUCCGCAACUUAAAAGCAAGAAACUUUGUCCCUAC
rnacentral:lncRNA from 1 species